rnacentral:sRNA from 1 species
ACGAAAACCAGCUGUAAGAAAAACACUUCAUUUACAAGAUUUAUCGGUAUAUUAAAAAAAAUUUCUUUGCGACAAGCUUAAGUAUAGGGGCCUUAAAUACUAAACUAUAUUUUGAACUACCUGGGCUGGUAAAUGUUAUUUGGGCACAAUAUAGAAAUACAAUGUAUAAGACUUAGGGAAUUUUUCCAUUUUAAGAGAUGUGGGAAUUUGUCUGAAUCUCAUACAUGGUUCCUAAUGGAUUUAAAAGAUAAAAUUGUUAUUGGAAACAUGUUGUUUAUGAAUGGAUGUGAACAGUGAAAAAAAUGAUUCUAAAUACAAAUGUGAAAUGUAGAAAGCAGGUAUGAUGGUACAUAUGUGUCUGGAAAGGGAGAAAAUAAAUGAACAAAUUACUAUACUGAACUAUGAAGAAAACAGUAAGGCUUUCACUGGCAUUGAACACUGAGAAACCCAAUUUACCCCUGCUGCAGGUGCUUGCUGCAUCUGAGCUAUCCAGGUUGGUGCACUGGCUUUAUGACCAUCAAAGGCAAUCUCUCAUGCAACGAAGCAAAAAACAUGUCAGAGGACUGGAGAAGUUGUGAAAGUUUUGCAGAAAUCUUCCACCUUAGCCCUUGUUUAACAUCCUGACAGGAUAAAGAAUUCAUGAAGCAGUAAGUCCCCCGGAAUGGCUUUGGUGUGAAUUUAACACACUAACCCCACCUGUCACAGGUUGGAGACUUUAAUUAGACAUACAGGAUCAACAAGUGUCAGAAAUGCUCCCCAUUUCCAGCAACAAUCAAUGCCAUAAUGUCAGAGACUUCAAUAACCAUCUCGUUGAACUUAAUUCCAUCCUGUUUGAUUCAGAAUCCAACUUACCGGCUUGUUGACACUGGUCAGGUUUUGACUCUCCGACUAAUGGAUUUUCAUUGUGUUUACAUUGUGUGAGCUCUGCUGAGUAAUUAGUAUGUUUCCACGCUUUAAAUUGGCCACUUUGACCAAUACACAAUGCCAAUGAUGGACUACAGGGUUCCUGCGUGUCUAUCAAUUAGGAGUUGUGUCGGCAACAAUGCCAGAAUAACCAAAGAGCAAAUGGUAUUCACAAAACACAUGCAGUCACUGUAUAACUUAUCUAAUCAAAGACUGAAGGAGAAGACAACUUGCUGAUUGAACAACUAAUGUGUUUAGAGUCUUGACUGAAAAAAUUCCAAUGUGACUUAUUAAGUCCAAGAUUGGAAAGGAGAAAAGGUGAAUGUGAAAAGCACUGAUAGCUAGAAGUACUAAUUAAUGUACUGAUAAUCUGAUUUAGUGUAGUUUGUCUAGUAGGUACCUCUGAGUUGUCCAUCUCAUCCAACCACUGUCCAAUAAGAUGGGCACUCUAUAAUGCAAUAAUUAUUUUCUGUACAUAAUUCAGCGUGGACAAGUCCGCGCAGUAACGUCAAAUACAAGUACAAACAAAUAUAAAGUUCUUCCGUUUAUGAUUCACUUAUCCAGAAGAAACCUGAGCUAUCAUAGGCAAACAUCAAAGAAGGUUUACUUUAAUAUCGAAUGCUAAGAAUCAGCUUCUCCAUUAGAAAUUAAUUUCUAUCAAAUGUUUAACGGCACCGACUGACUUCUGUUAAAGGUGGGGAUUAUAUUUGCGGACACAAACAUUGUAGCAGUGCAAGUGAACUCAGAAGUCAAAAUUAACAAACGAUUUUUUGUUCUUUUGAUUUUUAUUGAUUAUAUACCAAGUCUCUGUUAUUCAAAAGCUUGAAAGGGGUAGAAAAUCAAUUAGCAUUUGUGUCGCAGUGGGAAAUCACAAUGUGGUACAUUUAUCUAAUGCCGAUUUUGUGGUGGUCUCCCUACGCAAGAACUUGCGUCUUCACUCCCUAAGUAUGUUUAUUGUAAGUCGUAAAGGUUUAUUUUGCCCUUAUAAAGAGCUUUAUUUCUUC